UACAGAGGGUGCGAGCGUUAAUCGGAAUUACUGGGCGUAAAGCGUGCGUAGACGGCUAUCUAAGUCGGGUGUGAAAGCCCCGGGCUCAACCUGGGAAUUGCAUUCGAGACUGAAUAGCUAGGGUACGGUAGAGGGAAGUGGAAUUUCCGGUGUAGCGGUGAAAUGCGUAGAUUAUCGGAAGGAACAUCAGUGGCGAAAGC
rnacentral:rRNA from 1 species